rnacentral:tRNA from 1 species
GGAUGUAGCGCAGUUUGGCAGCGCGCGUCGUUCGGGACGACGAGGUCGGAGGUUCAAAUCCUCCAUCGUCCACCA